CGUGGGAGUCGCUGCCCAGGGCGGCCUUUGUGCACGGAGCUGCAGACACAGAGAUGACCCGGUGCCGCCCAGCAGGGGACAGGCCACCGUCCGGUACAGGCAGUUAGAGGAGUAAUCCCAGGGUACAAGCGCACACGACGGAAACCCUCGGGGACGUGGAGCGGGGCAGGGAGGAGGCGGGGACAGCUGGAACGAGGCGUGGGAGGCACGGCAGUGAGAAGCACUCGCGCGGUCCUGCAUGCAGAGGGGAGCCCCGAAGCGUUUGGGGUUGAAAAUGAGAAGAAGAGGGGCAAAGUGCGGCUGGCACGCGGGAAUCCCGUAGGUGAGGAGAGCCAGGGAGGACUCAGUUAAUUUGCAUUUUACAAAUGGCACCCCGCGGCCGGAGUGGUCAGGUUGGCAGGGAGUGAGGCCAGGGAAGCCUGCGGGAUUCCAAGCAGGACCAGGGAGGGCGCCAAGGAGUCGGCAGCCGUGAGAAUUGUCUGGGCCGAGGUUUCUCACGCUGCAGCCUGAGGACCUCCAGGGCGGCCUAGGCUCAACUCGAGGGGUCUUCAAGUGUCUCUGGAGAAAUGCCACCCUAGGAAACAAGUCUCAUUUCCUGAAAAGGACUUGCAGUUGCUCGUCUUCACUGCGUUGGACUUUUGCCUUUUACCCUGAAAAGGAUCGGACUACUGAGUUUCCCUCCUCCCCUACGGGUCGGGCGCUGGGGACCUGGAGUUCGUCAGGAGGACUGUGGACUUCACCUCCCCGCUCUUCAAGCCCCUGACUGGCUUUCCCCUCGGCUCCUCUCUCCGGGAUUCCCUCUACUUCACAGACAACGGCCAGAUCAUCUUCCCAGAGUCAGACGACCAGAUUUUCUCCUACCCAAACCCGCUCCCGACAGGCUUCGCGGGCUGGGACCCUGUGGCCCUGGUGGCUCCGUUCUGGGAUGAUGCUGAUUUCUCCCAUGGUCGGGGGACCAUAUUUUACCGGGAAUACGAGACGCUGUACGGUGAACACAACCUGCUAGUCCUGCAGGCCGAGUCCUGGAUUAGAAAGAUGACAAACAACGGGGACUACAAGGCCAGGUGGACCCUAAAGGUCACGUGGGUCAGUGCCCACGCCUAUCCUGCCCAGUGGAGCCUCGGGGCCAACACCUACCAGGCCAUCCUCUCCACGGACGGGAGCAGGUCCUAU
rnacentral:lncRNA from 1 species